UUUAAGAGUUUGAUCCUGGCUCAGGAUUAACGCUGGCGGCGUGCCUAAUACAUGCAAGUCGAACGGAAACUUUUAGUUUCAGUGGCGAACGGGUGAGUAACACGUAAGUAACCUACCUUUCAGACGAGGAUAACAGUUGGAAACGACUGCUAAGACUGGAUAGGAAGUUUUAAGGCAUCUUGAAACUUUUAAAAGACCCGCAAGUAUGCUGAGAGAUGA
rnacentral:rRNA from 1 species